rnacentral:rRNA from 1 species
CACGCCGCGGGAACACCAGCAGCCCAAGUGGUGGUCGCGUUUAUUGGGCCUAAAGCGCUCGUAGCCUGACCGGUAAGUUCCCCGUGAAAUCGGGUCGCCCAACGAUUCGGCUUGCGGGGAAUACUGUCGGUCUUGGGGCCGGGAGACGCCGAGGGUACUCCGGGGGUAGCGGUGAAAUGCUGUAAUCCUCGGGGGACUACCAGUGGCGAAGGCGCUUGGCGAUAACGGGCCUGACGGUGAGGGGCGAAAGCUGGGGGCGCGAACGGGAUUAGAUACCCCCGUAGUCCCUGUCUCUUAUACC